GACGAACGCUGGCGGCGUGCCUAAUACAUGCAAGUUGAGCGCUGAAGGUUGGUACUUGUACCAACUGGAUGAGCAGCGAACGGGUGAGUAACGCGUGGGGAAUCUGCCUUUGAGCGGGGGACAACAUUUGGAAACGAAUGCUAAUACCGCAUAAAAACUUUAAACACAAGUUUUAAGUUUGAAAGAUGCAAUUGCAUCACUCAAAGAUGAUCCCGCGUUGUAUUAGCUAGUUGGUGAGGUAAAGGCUCACCAAGGCGAUGAUACAUAGCCGACCUGAGAGGGUGAUCGGCCACAUUGGGACUGAGACACGGCCCAAACUCCUACGGGAGGCAGCAGUAGGGAAUCUUCGGCAAUGGACGAAAGUCUGACCGAGCAACGCCGCGUGAGUGAAGAAGGUUGUCGGAUCGUAAAACUCUGUUGGUAGAGAAGAACGUUGGUGAGAGUGGAAAGCUCAUCAAGUGACGGUAACUACCCAGAAAGGGACGGCUAACUACGU
rnacentral:rRNA from 1 species